rnacentral:lncRNA from 1 species
UUCUCUUGCCCUGCUGUCUUCACGUCUCCUUAACCUGUACAAGAUGUGCAAGGGCCCAACCUACCUGUAGGCUUUGAAAUGUUGGUGUGGUAGCUUCCCUGCCGCCCCCUGAUAAAGCCGGUACAGGAGGAUCAUGCAGAUGUGGGUGUCAGAGAAAAUCAACCGGAAGGAACACUGGUCUCCUGUUAAUGGAUGGCCACGCUCAAGCUCCGGUUCACCUGUGGCACUUACUGUGACCAAAGUAGAGGAAAGAACACUGCCUGUCCCUUUACAGCAGGUCCCACUGCAACACAAGCAGGAGCUGU